CACGUAGGGUGCGAGCGUUGUCCGGAAUUAUUGGGCGUAAAGGGCUCGUAGGCGGUUUGUCGCGUCGGGAGUGAAAACCCAGGGCUUAACCCUGGGCUGGCUUCCGAUACGGGCAGACUAGAGGUAUGCAGGGGAGAACGGAAUUCCUGGUGUAGCGGUGAAAUGCGUAGAUAUCAUGAGGAAUACCAGAGGCGAAGGCGGCUACCUGGACAAUUGCUGACGCUCAGGCACGAAAGCGUGGGGAGCAAAAGGG
rnacentral:rRNA from 1 species